rnacentral:rRNA from 1 species
GGUUAAGCGACCAAGCGUACACGGUGGAUGCCCUGGCAGUCAGAGGCGAUGAAGGACGUGCUAAUCUGCGAAAAGCGCCGGUAAGGUGAUAUGAACCGUUAUAACCGGCGAUGUCCGAAUGGGGAAACCCAGUGUGACUCGUCACACUAUCAUUAACUGAAUCCAUAGGUUAAUGAGGCGAACCGGGGGAACUGAAACAUCUAAGUACCCCGAGGAAAAGAAAUCAACCGAGAUUCCCCCAGUAGCGGCGAGCGAACGGGGAGGAGCCCAGAGCCUGAAUCAGCAUGUGUGUUAGUGGAAGCGUCUGGAAAGGCGCGCGAUACAGGGUGAGAGCCCCGUACACAAAAGCGCACAUGCUGUGAGCUCGAUGAGUAGGGCGGGACACGUGGUAUCCUGUCUGAAUAUGGGGGGACCAUCCUCCAAGGCUAAAUACUCCUGACUGACCGAUAGUGAACCAGUACCGUGAGGGAAAGGCGAAAAGAACCCCGGCGAGGGGAGUGAAACAGAACCUGAAACCGUGUACGUACAAGCAGUGGGAGCCUCUCUUUAUGGGGGGUGACUGCGUACCUUUUGUAUAAUGGGUCAGCGACUUAUAUUCUGUAGCAAGGUUAACCGCAUAGGGGAGCCGAAGGGAAACCGAGUCUUAAUUGGGCGUUAAGUUGCAGGGUAUAGACCCGAAACCCGGUGAUCUAGCCAUGGGCAGGUUGAAGGUUGGGUAACACUAACUGGAGGACCGAACCGACUAAUGUUGAAAAAUUAGCGGAUGACCUGUGGCUGGGGGUGAAAGGCCAAUCAAACCGGGAGAUAGCUGGUUCUCCCCGAAAGCUAUUUAGGUAGCGCCUCGUGAACUCAUCUCCGGGGGUAGAGCACUGUUUCGGCUAGGGGGCCAUCCCGGCUUACCAACCCGAUGCAAACUGCGAAUACCGGAGAAUGUUAUCACGGGAGACACACGGCGGGUGCUAACGUCCGUCGUGAAGAGGGAAACAACCCAGACCGCCAGCUAAGGUCCCAAAGUCAUGGUUAAGUGGGAAACGAUGUGGGAAGGCCCAGACAGCCAGGAUGUUGGCUUAGAAGCAGCCAUCAUUUAAAGAAAGCGUAAUAGCUCACUGGUCGAGUCGGCCUGCGCGGAAGAUGUAACGGGGCUAAACCAUGCACCGAAGCUGCGGCAGCGACACUUUAGUGUUGUUGGGUAGGGGAGCGUUCUGUAAGCCGUUGAAGGUGUCCUGUGAGGGGGGCUGGAGGUAUCAGAAGUGCGAAUGCUGACAUAAGUAACGAUAAAGCGGGUGAAAAGCCCGCUCGCCGGAAGACCAAGGGUUCCUGUCCAACGUUAAUCGGGGCAGGGUGAGUCGACCCCUAAGGCGAGGCCGAAAGGCGUAGUCGAUGGGAAACGGGUUAAUAUUCCCGUACUUGGUGUUACUGCGAAGGGGGGACGGAGAAGGCUAUGUUGGCCGGGCGACGGUAGUCCCGGUUUAAGCGUGUAGGUGUGUGUUCCAGGUAAAUCCGGUUCACUUUAACACUGAGGCGUGAUGACGAGGCACCACGGUGCUGAAGCAACAAAUGCCCUGCUUCCAGGAAAAGCCUCUAAGCAUCAGGUAACAUCAAAUCGUACCCCAAACCGACACAGGUGGUCAGGUAGAGAAUACCAAGGCGCUUGAGAGAACUCGGGUGAAGGAACUAGGCAAAAUGGUGCCGUAACUUCGGGAGAAGGCACGCUGACACGUAGGUGAAGUGAUUUACUCAUGGAGCUGAAGUCAGUCGAAGAUACCAGCUGGCUGCAACUGUUUAUUAAAAACACAGCACUGUGCAAACACGAAAGUGGACGUAUACGGUGUGACGCCUGCCCGGUGCCGGAAGGUUAAUUGAUGGGGUCAGCGCAAGCGAAGCUCCUGAUCGAAGCCCCGGUAAACGGCGGCCGUAACUAUAACGGUCCUAAGGUAGCGAAAUUCCUUGUCGGGUAAGUUCCGACCUGCACGAAUGGCGUAAUGAUGGCCAGGCUGUCUCCACCCGAGACUCAGUGAAAUUGAACUCGCUGUGAAGAUGCAGUGUACCCGCGGCAAGACGGAAAGACCCCGUGAACCUUUACUAUAGCUUGACACUGAACAUUGAGCCUUGAUGUGUAGGAUAGGUGGGAGGCUUUGAAGCGUGGACGCCAGUCUGCGUGGAGCCGACCUUGAAAUACCACCCUUUAAUGUUUGAUGUUCUAACGUGGACCCGUAAUCCGGGUUGCGGACAGUGUCUGGUGGGUAGUUUGACUGGGGCGGUCUCCUCCUAAAGAGUAACGGAGGAGCACGAAGGUUGGCUAAUCCUGGUCGGACAUCAGGAGGUUAGUGCAAUGGCAUAAGCCAGCUUGACUGCGAGCGUGACGGCGCGAGCAGGUGCGAAAGCAGGUCAUAGUGAUCCGGUGGUUCUGAAUGGAAGGGCCAUCGCUCAACGGAUAAAAGGUACUCCGGGGAUAACAGGCUGAUACCGCCCAAGAGUUCAUAUCGACGGCGGUGUUUGGCACCUCGAUGUCGGCUCAUCACAUCCUGGGGCUGAAGUAGGUCCCAAGGGUAUGGCUGUUCGCCAUUUAAAGUGGUACGCGAGCUGGGUUUAGAACGUCGUGAGACAGUUCGGUCCCUAUCUGCCGUGGGCGCUGGAAGACUGAGGGGGGCUGCUCCUAGUACGAGAGGACCGGAGUGGACGCAUCACUGGUGUUCGGGUUGUCAUGCCAAUGGCACUGCCCGGUAGCUAAAUGCGGAAAAGAUAAGUGCUGAAAGCAUCUAAGCACGAAACUUGCCCCGAGAUGAGUCUUCCCUGAGACUUUGAGUCUCCUGAAGGAACGUUAAAGACGAUGACGUUGAUAGGCCGGGUGUGUAAGCGCAGCGAUGCGUUGAGCUAACCGGUACUAAUGAACCGUGAGGCUUAACCUU